UGGGGAAUUUUGCACAAUGGGGGAAACCCUGAUGCAGCGACGCCGCGCGAUUUAGAAGGCCUUCGGGUUGUAAAAAUCUUUUCUAUGGGAAGAAAAUGACAGUACCAUAGGAAUAAGGACCGGCUAAUUACGUGCCAGCAGCCGCGGUAAUACGUAAGGUCCGAGCGUUGUCCGGAAUCAUUGGGCGUAAAGGGUACGUAGGCGGGUAAGCAAGUUAGAAGUGAAAUCCUAUAGCUCAACUAUAGUAAGCUUUUAAAACUGCUCAUCUUGAGGUAUGGAAGGGAAAGUGGAAUUCCUAGUGUAGCGGUGAAAUGCGCAGAUAUUAGGAGGAAUACCGGUGGCGAAGGCGACUUUCUGGCCAUAACCUGACGCUGAGGUACGAAAGCGUGGGUAGCAAACAGG
rnacentral:rRNA from 1 species